GCGCAGCAGCGCGAAAUUUUUCUCAAUGGGGGCAACCCUGAAGGAGCGACGCCGCGUGGAGGAUGAAGGCUUUCGGGUUGUAAACUCCUGUCAUUUGAGAACAAGGUACGAGUGUUAACUGUACUCGUAUUGAUAGUAUCAGAAGAGGAAGGGACGGCUAACUCUGUGCCAGCAGCCGCGGUAAUACAGAGGUCCCAAGCGUUGUUCGGAUUCAUUGGGCGUAAAGGGUGCGUAGGUGGCGCCGUAAGUGGGGUGUGAAAUCUCGGGGCUUAACUCCGAAACUGCAUUCCAUACUGCGGUGCUUGAGGACUGGAGAGGAGACUGGAAUUCAUGGUGUAGCAGUGAAAUGCGUAGAGAUCAUGAGGAAGACCAGUGGCGAAGGCGGGUCUCUGGACAGUUCCUGACACUGAGGCACGAAGGCCAGGGGAGCAAACGGGAUUAGAUACCCGUGUAGU
rnacentral:rRNA from 1 species